rnacentral:rRNA from 1 species
UACGUAGGGUGCGAGCGUUAAUCGGAAUUACUGGGCGUAAAGCGUGCGCAGGCGGUUCGUUGUGUCGGCGGUGAAAGCCCCGGGCUUAACCUGGGAAUGGCCGUUGAAACUGGCGAACUGGAGUGUGGCAGAGGGGGGUGGAAUUCCGCGUGUAGCAGUGAAAUGCGUAGAGAUGCGGAGGAACACCGAUGGCGAAGGCGGCUCACUGGCCCGAUACUGACGCUGAGGCACGAAAGCUAGGGGAGCAAACAGG